rnacentral:rRNA from 1 species
CAUGCAAGUCGAACGAGGAUAUAUCCUUCGGGAUAUAAGCCGAGUGGCACAAGGGUGAGCAAUGCAUAGAUUACCUACCUUUAGGAUAAGGACAACUUUGUGAAAACGGAGCUAAUACUUAAUAAUACAAAAGAAAAUAAUUUUCUUUUGUCAAAGGGAGGGUAGCAAUACCUUUCGCCUAGAGAGGGGUUUAUGUCCUAUCAGCUUGUUGGUGGGGUAAUAGCCUACCAAGGCGAAGACGGGUAGCCGGUUUAAGAGGAUGGUCGGCCACACUGGGACUGAGACACUGCCCAGACUUCUACGGAAGGCUGCAGUCGAGAAUCUUUCGCAAUGCCCGAAAGGGUGACGAAGCGACGCCGCGUGGGUGAAGAAGGCCUUCGGGUUGUAAAGCCCUGUCAGGAGUUAUGAAAUGUAAAUGCGCUAAUACCGUGCUUAUUUGACAAAGGCUCCAAAGGAAGCCACGGCUAACUCUGUGCCAGCAGCCGCGGUAAUACAGAGGUGGCGAGCGUUGUUCGGAAUUAUUGGGCGUAAAGAGCACGUAGGUGGGUUUGCAAGUCAGAUGUGAAAGCCUUCUGUUCAACGGAAGAAUUGCAUCUGAAACUGCUAAUCUUGAGUAUAGGAGGGGAGAAUGGAACUUCUGGUGGAGCGGUGAAAUGCGUAGAUAUCAGAAGGAACGCCGGCGGCGAAAGCGAUUCUCUGGCCUAUUACUGACGCUCAGUGUGCGAGAGCUAGGGGAGCAAACGGGAUUAGAUACCCCGGUAGUCCUAGCCGUAAACGAUGGGCACUAAGUAGAGGGGAUUACCUAUAUUCUCUCUGCCGUAGCUAACGCAUUAAGUGCCCCGCCUGGGGAGUACGGCCGCAAGGCUAAAACUCAAAAGAAUUGACGGGGGCUCGCACAAGUGGUGGAGCAUGUGGCUUAAUUCGAUGCAACGCGAAAAACCUUACCGGGGCUUGACAUGAUAGAAGUAGGAACCUGAAAGGGGGACGAACGGUAUCCAGUCCGUAGCUAUUACAGGUGUUGCAUGGCUGUCGUCAGCUCGUGUCGUGAGACGUUGGGUUAAGUCCCCUAACGAGCGAAACCCUUGUUUUUAGUUACCAGCGGGUUAUGCCGGGUACUCUAGAAAAACUGCCGUCGUCAAGACGGAGGAAGGUGGGGAUGACGUCAAGUCAUCAUGGCCCUUAUGCCCCGGGCUGCACACGUGCUACAAUGGUCGGUACAGACGGAAGCGAAGCCGAGAGGUGAAGCGAAUCCUAAAAAGCCGAUCUCAGUUCGGAUUGGAGGCUGAAAUUCGCCUCCAUGAAGUUGGAAUCGCUAGUAAUCGCGGAUCAGCAAUGUCGCGGUGAAUAUGUUCCCGAGUCUUGUACACACCGCCCGUCAAGCCACCCAAGCAGGAUGCACCCGAAAACAUUAUAUCUAACCAGGGCAACUUGGAGGAAAAUGUUGAAGGAGUGUUUUGUGAGGAGGACUAAGUCGUAACAAGGUAGUCGUAGGAGAACCUGCGGCUGGAUCACCUCCUUUCU